GGUUUGAUCAUGGCUCAGAUUGAACGCUGGCGGGAUGCUUUACAUGCAAGUCGAGCGGCAACUGGACUUCGGUCUGGUGGCGAGUGGCGAACAGGUGAGUAAUGUAUCAGGAACGUGCCUAGUAGCGGGGGAUAACUACGCGAAAGCAUAGCUAAUACCGCAUACGCCCUUCGAGGAAAGCGGGGGACCUUCGGGCCUCGCACUAUUAGAGCAGCCGAUAUCGGAUUAGCUAGUUGGUGGGGGUGUAACGGCUCACCAGGCGACGAUCCGUAGCUGAUUUGAGAGGACGACCAGCCACUGGGACUGAGACACGGCCCAGACUCCUACGGGAGAGCAGCAGUGAAAUUUUGGACAAUGGGGGAAACCCUGAUCCAGCCAUCCCGCGUGUGCGAUGAAGGCCUUCGGGUUGUAAAGCACUUUUGGCAGGAAAGAAACGGCACGGGAUAAUACCCGUGCAGCGGCAAUACCUGCCAGAUAAGCACCGGCUAACUACGUGCCAGCAGCCGCGGUAAUACGUAGGGUGCAAGCGUUAAUCGGAAUUACUGGGCGUAAAGCGUGCGCAGGCGGUUCGGAAGAAGAUGUGAAAUCAGGCUUAACUUUGGAACUGCAUUUUUAACUACCGAGCUAGAGUGUGUCAGAGGGAGGUGGAAUUCCGCGUGUAGCAGUGAAAUGCAUGUAGAUAUGCGGGCUACCGAUGGCGAAGGCAGCCUCCUGGGAUAACACUGACGCUCAUGCACAGCGUGGGGGCAAGCAGGAUUAGAAUGCCACAGUCCACGCCUAAACGAUGUCAACUAGCUGUUGGGGCCUUCGGGCCUUGUGGUAGCGCAACUAACGCGUGAAGUUGACCGCCUGGGGAGUACGGUCGCAAGAUUAAAACUCAAAGGAAUUGACGGGGACCCGCACAAGCGGUGGAUGAUGUGGUUAAUUCGAUGCAGCGCGAAAAACCUUACCUACCCUUGACAUGUCUGGAAUCCCGAAGAGAUUUGGGAGUGCUCGCAAGAGAACCGGAACACAGGUGCUGCAUGGCUGUCGUCAGCUCGUGUCGCGGAUGUUGGGUUAAGUCCCGCAACGAGCGCAACCCUUGUCAUUAGUUGCUACGAAAGGGCACUCUAAUGAGACUGCCGGAGCGACAAACCGGGAGGUGGGGAUGACGUCAGAGUCCUCAUGGCCGUAUGGGUAGGGCUUCACGUCCGCCGUGGUCCGGGACAGAGGGUCGCCAACCCGCGAGGGAGCCAAUCCCAGAAACCCGAUCGUAGUCCGGAUCGCAGUCUGCAACUCGACUGCGUGAAGUCGGAAUCGCUGGUAAUCGCGGAUCAGCAUGUCGCGGUGAAUACGUUCCCGGGUCUUGUACACACCGCCCGUCACACCAUGGGAGUGGGUUUUACCGAAGUAGUUAGCUAACGUAAGGAGGGCGAUUACCACGGUAGAGUUCAUGACUGGGGUGAAGUCGUAACAAGGCUCUGUUUACUACCUGGGAGCGGCUCGCUGACCGCGACGAUCGCCGUGGUAAUCGCCCUCGCUACGAUUUAGACUAACUACUUCUGGUAAAAUUGCUCCCAGUGUUGUGACGGGCGGCCUGUCUGCAGACCCGGAACAUAUUCUACGUGCUGAUCCUGAUACAAAGCGAUUCCGGCAUCGGUGCGAUCAGACGGUUUCUUGGAUUGAGCUCCCCUCGCGGAUUGCGGCCUCCUGUCCCGACCGACCAUGAUGAAACCCAAAUAAAAAAUUGCCAUGAAAGACGCGACGUCAUCCCUCUUCCGGUUUUCGUGUCUCGCCAGAAAUUAGCAACUAAUGACAAGGAUUGCGCUCGUUGUUAACAACAUCUCACGACACGAGCUGACGACAGCGCCAUGCAGCGCACCUGUGUUCCGAUUUACUUCUCUUCAGGUCAAAAACGAUAGGUUGCGUAUGUCAUCAGUGCGGGUCGUCGAAUUCGCGGUUUUAAUCGAACCACUCCCCCAGGCGGUCAACUACGCGUUGCCUGCGCCUGCCUCCCUUUAGCUAGUUAUCGUUUACUCCACCUCCCUCUGACACUCUAACUCGGUAGUUAAAAAUGCAGUUCAAGUUAAGCACAUCUUUUUGCUGUUUUUACCCUACGUAUUACGCGGCUGUAGCGUAAUAGCCGGUACAAAAAUCAGUUACGGGCAAUCUGCCGUUGCCAAAAGUGCUUUUUGGCCCGAGGCUGGGGCAUCGCACACGGAUGGCUGGAUGGACUCCCCCAUUGUAUCCCAAAAUUCCCCCGCGUCUGAGACUGUCUCAGUCCCGGCUGGUCGUCACUAUAAAAUCAGCUUCGCCUUGAGCGUUUACCCCACCAACAACGCAUCUUUUGCCCUAUGAGUGCGGGCGGAUCCCUUUCCCCCGGGGCGCAGCGUAGUUAUCCCCGCUACGUUCGGCCGAUUACUCCGCACCGUUCGCCACGCCACUGCCAGGUGACCGAGGAGUCCAUAGCGCGCCGCCGACCCGCGUAAUCCGCCAGCGUCAAUCUGAAUAGAGAAUCAAACGCACCUGAUGCUCAACAUGCGCUU
rnacentral:misc_RNA from 1 species